UGGGGUAUCGCCAAGCGGUAAGGCAGCGGAUUUUGAUUCCGCCACUCCCAGGUUCGAAUCCUGGUACCCCAGCCA
rnacentral:tRNA from 1 species